rnacentral:rRNA from 1 species
AGUGAACGCUGGCGGUAGGCCUAACACAUGCAAGUCGAACGGCAGCACAGUAAGAGCUUGCUCUUACGGGUGGCGAGUGGCGGACGGGUGAGGAAUACAUCGGAAUCUACUUUUUCGUGGGGGAUAACGUAGGGAAACUUACGCUAAUACCGCAUACGACCUACGGGUGAAAGCAGGGGAUCUUCGGACCUUGCGCGAUUGAAUGAGCCGAUGUCGGAUUAGCUAGUUGGCGGGGUAAAGGCCCACCAAGGCGACGAUCCGUAGCUGGUCUGAGAGGAUGAUCAGCCACACUGGAACUGAGACACGGUCCAGACUCCUACGGGAGGCAGCAGUGGGGAAUAUUGGACAAUGGGCGCAAGCCUGGUCCAGCCAUACCGCGUGGGUGAAGAAGGCCUUCGGGUUGUAAAGCCCUUUUGUUGGGAAAGAAAAGCAGCAGGUUAAUACCCCGCUGUUCUGACGGUACCCAAAGAAUAAGCACCGGCUAACGUCGUG